rnacentral:rRNA from 1 species
GAUGAACGCUGGCGGCGUGCCUAAUACAUGCAAGUCGAGCGGAAGGACGCGACGCUUGCUUCUCUGAUGUUAGCGGAGGACGGGUGAGUAACACGUGGAUCCCCUCCCUAUAAGACUGAGAUCACUACGGAAAACCGUAUCUAAUACCGGAUAAUAUUUUGAUCCGCAUGGUUCAAAGGUGAAAGACGGUCUUGCUGUCACUUAUAGAUGGAUCCGCGCUGCAUUAGCUAGUUGGUAAGGUAAUGGCUUACCAAGGCAACGAUGCAUAACCGACCUGUGAGAGGGAUAGCCGACACGGGAACGGGGCCGCGCACCUGACGCCUACGAGAGGCAGCAGAAUGGAAUCGGCGGCAAUAGGGGAAAGCAUGACGGAGCAAGGCCACGUGUGUGAUGAAGGUCUUGGGAGCGUAAUACUGUGUUUCGAGGUAAGAACAGAUGUGUAAGGAACCGUACACAGCGUGACGGUACCUAAUAAGAAAGCAACGGCUAACUACGUG